rnacentral:rRNA from 1 species
CUACGGGUUGCUGCAGUAGGGAAUUUUCGGCAAUGGGCGAAAGCCUGACCGAGCAAUGCCGCGUGAACGAUGAAGGCCUUCGGGUUGUAAAGUUCUGUUAUCAGGGAAGAACAUACGGAUUAGGAAAUGACUCCGUACUGACGGUACCUGAUCAGAAAGCUCCGGCUAACUACGUGCCAGCAGCCGCGGUAAUACGUAGGGAGCAAGCGUUAUCCGGAAUUAUUGGGCGUAAAGCGUGCGUAGGCGGUUCGUUAAGGCAAAUCUGAAAGCCCACAGCUUAACUGGGGAGGGCGAUUUGAAACUGGCGAACUUGAGUACGGCAGAGGUUAGUGGAAUUCAAUGUGUAGCGGUGGAAUGCGUAGAUAUAUUGAGGAACACCAGUGGCGAAGGCGGCUAACUGGACCGGAACUGACGCUGAGGCACGAAAGCGUGGGGAGCAAACAGGAUUAGAUACCCUCGUAGUC